GGCAGCGCUGGGCCCUGGAGGAUCCGGGGCCCGCACGUGUGGAGGGCAGGGACCCGGCCCAGCGCUUCUUCGCAGGGGAACACCCGCCCAGCCGCCAGAAAUUCCAGCAGCCCAGGAGGUGGUGAGGCUGGGACUGGCCAGCAGGGCCUGAGCCAUGCUCUCAUCUCCAUGGCGGGCUAAACCGGGGUCAAGGCUUGGAGAUCCAGGGCUGGGCGUAGGCUGCCCCUCACCAAGAUAUUGAAGAAAAUCUCCUUGAGGUUUCUCGUGUCCUCAUCAGUCAGCCAGUGUGAGUCCUCCUCUGCCCCUUCAGCCCCUGGUCGCACGAUUUUGAUUUCAAUUUUCCCUGGAAAGGAGCCACGUGGGCAGUGAGAGGAAGAGAAAAGGUGGGAGCGUCCGUGCAGGGCCCUCUGCCUCCCAGGUCCCCAGCGAGGUUUCCAGUCCACUUGGACCCAGCCCCUCCACCUUGGGCAGCAGGCCCUGCCAACAACUCUUAAGCCAGCCCGCCCCAGGGCCCACCUUCCGCCGUGAGCCCCUCCCUCUCCAGCAGCUCUUUCACCAGCCCCUCGAUUUGUUUCAGCUGUGGGUUUUCCCGUUUCAUCUCGAGGACAGUCAGAUCCUGAUUGGGGCCUCCGUGACGGAGCUUGGUGACCCGGACCCGGACUCUGUGUUCAGGAUCCUCCUCUUAGAGGGGGAGACAUACAGGGAGACACAAAGCAGAGCCGUGAUUCCAGGUUAGGGGCUGCGGUGGUAACUUCUCCUUAAGCCAUCAACUGGUCCUGGCAGUUUUCCAUCACACGCAUGGAUGAACCGGGGCUCAGAGUAAGUGCCCCCUUCCUCCGUCCCCCUUCAGCCUAUAAAGCUCCCUCCACUAACCGUAGCCUCCCUUUCCCCUCCUGGACCAAUCAUCCUGCCUGUCCCCUACAGGAAAAACCACUGUGUUUUCUGAAGCAAAAAUCAGGUCACCUGGGCCAACGGAGGAGUUUUGUUUUAGGAAAGCAGGUUGGAAAACUGUGGUUUUGUUCCACAUGCUGGUACUCGAAAGACAUUCUAAUGUUUAUAGAGAUGGUGGGAUGGAAGAUGUGAAAACAGAACAUUCCAUUUGGAAUGUCUAAUCUCAUAUGACCCCGUGGCAUGGAGCUCAGGGGUGCAGGAGGAAGCAAUAACUUCACGUCUGUCCUGCCAGGCAACUGGCUUCUGACCAGCCAGGCUUGCCCGUUCACACCCUACCAGUGGGGGCCUUUCCCAGCGCACGGGGCUCACUGUUGAUACGCUGCGUCCUUCACAGGAGAGGAGAUGAGGAGACCAGGGAAGGACAUGGUCCCUGCGUCCGGGAGCCACCUGUCUGGUCACUGAGAUAGGGGCCGACGCAGGCCCCUGGAGGGUGCUGUCCUAAGGUGGACCCACAGAUGAGACAGGGGAUGCUAACACGCUGCUCGCACCCGCGCUGCUGGGCCCUGCUGGCAAUUACUCCAGUUCUGAGGACUACGGAAGAGAUUCUGGGGCCACAGCCUUCUCUUCCCUGGAUACUGUUCUCUCCUUUCUGCCAAAUAGAAACCAUUUCUUGUCUA